UUUAUUUACGGAUAAAUUGUUAUGUUAUGGAUCGACUCUUCGUCAUAUAAUAUGUUUCGAUUUACUAAAUGGAUAUGAACAACAUAAUUUCAUUUCAUCCAUAUUACUAUCACAAUGAAUAUUCUCCCCUAGUUUCACAGAGAUGAAGUCAAAACAUCAAACAUCAUUCUCAAUUACUUAUUUUAAAACCUUUGGGGGUAUUCUCUAACUAUAGUCUAUGUACUAUUUAUUGUGAUAGGGAUUAUCAUGUCUUAUUCGA
rnacentral:lncRNA from 1 species